AUAUUGUUGAGCCACGACACGCUGCUGGAAAAGCUCUUCAAUAAACACUCCGGCUCGCCUGACUGGUCCCACCAACGUCUCGAGGGGACGGCACACACAGCGGUCCUCUUGCAGUCGGGCGCGGUCAACAAGGUUCGGGAUGCGACAAACACCCUAUUGAAUCAGGGGCGGGUCGACGACGCCGCGCCCCGGCUGCGCCAAUAUCUCGAAUAUGUCCUCCAAACGGUUAUCGACAAAUGCCGUAUUCCCGUGCCACCUGACCUCGCUUUUGGCGACGAUAAACGAACGCNNNUAUCUCAAUGCGAUAAAAGCAGCGGUCGAGCUCGAAGACCGAGCGGGCAGCCUGAUCCUCG
rnacentral:misc_RNA from 1 species